UGGGGAAUUGUUCGCAAUGGGCGCAAGCCUGACGACGCAAUGCCGCGUGGAGGAUGAAGACUUUCGGGUCGUAAACUCCUUUCGACCGAGAUGAACGUCCAUCGGUUUAAUACACCGGUGGAGUGACAGUAUCGAGGGAAGAAGCCCCGGCUAACUCCGUGCCAGCAGCCGCGGUAAUACGGGGGGGGCGAGCGUUGUUCGGAAUUACUGGGCGUAAAGGGUUUGUAGGUGGCCUACCAAGUCAGACGUGAAAUCCCCCGGCUCAACCGGGGAACUGCGUCUGAAACUGGUGGGCUUGAGUGCAGGAGAGGAACGCGGAAUUCCAGGUGUAGCGGUGAAAUGCGUAGAUAUCUGGAGGAACACCGGUGGCGAAGGCGGCGUUCUGGACUGUUACUGACACUGAGGAACGAAAGCCAGGGGAGCAA
rnacentral:rRNA from 1 species